ACUCAAAGGAAUUGACGGGGACCCGCACAAGCGGUGGAUGAUGUGGAUUAAUUCGAUGCAACGCGAAAAACCUUACCUACCCUUGACAUGUUCAGAAGCUUGAAGAGAUUUGAGUGUGCCCGAAAGGGAACUGAAACACAGGUGCUGCAUGGCUGUCGUCAGCUCGUGUCGUGAGAUGUUGGGUUAAGUCCCGCAACGAGCGCAACCCUUGUCGUUAAUUGCCAUCAUUUAGUUGGGCACUUUAGCGAGACUGCCGGUGACAAACCGGAGGAAGGUGGGGAUGACGUCAAGUCCUCAUGGCCCUUAUGGGUAGGGCUUCACACGUCAUACAAUGGUCGGUACAGAGGGUUGCCAAGCCGCGAGGUGGAGCCAAUCCCAGAAAGCCGAUCGUAGUCCGGAUUGCAGGCUGCAACUCGCCUGCAUGAAGUCGGAAUCGCUAGUAAUCGCGGAUCAGCAUGUCGCGGUGAAUACGUUCCCGGGUCUUGUACACACCGCCCGU
rnacentral:rRNA from 1 species